rnacentral:tRNA from 1 species
GGGCGCAUAGCUCAGUGGAAGAGCACUCGCCUUACAAGCGAGGGGUCGGGGGUUCGAAACCCUCUGCGCCCA